rnacentral:rRNA from 1 species
GACGAACGCUGGCGGCGUGCUUAACACAUGCAAGUCGAACGGAAAGGUCCUGCUUUUGUUGGGUGCUCGAGUGGCGAACGCGUGAGUAACACGUGAGUAACCUGCCCUUGACUUUCGGAUAACUUUAGGAAACUGGGGCUCAUAUCGGAUAGGAUCUCCUGCUGCGUGGUGGGGGUCGGAAAGUGUCGGCGGUUGGGGAUGUACUAGCGGCUUAUCCGCUUGUUUGUGGGGUAGUGGCUUACCAAGGCUUUGACGGGUAGCCGGCCUGGGAGGGUGACCGGCCACAUUGCGACUGAGAUACGGCCCAGAAUCCUACGGGAGGCAGCAGGGGGGAGUAUGGCACAAUGGGCGGAAGCCUGAUACAACAACGCCGCGUGCGGGAUGACGGCCUUCGGGUUGUGAACCGCUUUCGCCUGUGACGAAGCGGGAGUGACGGUAAUGGGUAAAGAAGCACCGGCUAACUACGUG